AUUGAACGCUGGCGGAAUGCUUUACACAUGCAAGUCGAACGGCAGCACGGACUUCGGUCUGGUGGCGAGCGGCGAACGGGUGAGUAAUGUAUCGGAACGUGCCCAGUCGUGGGGGAUAACGUAGUGAAAAUUACGCUAAUACCGCAUACGAUCUAUGGAUGAAAGCGGGGGAUCGCAUGGCCUCGCGCGAUUGGAGCGGCCGAUAUCAGAUUAGGUAGUUGGUGGGGUAAAGGCCCACCAAGCCAACGAUCUGUAGCUGGUCUGAGAGGACGACCAGCCACACUGGAACUGAGACACGGUCCAGACUCCUACGGGAGGCAGCAGUGGGGAAUUUUGGACAAUGGGCGAAAGCCUGAUCCAGCCAUUCCGCGUGCAGGAUGAAGGCCCUCGGGUUGUAAACUGCUUUUGUACAGAAUGAAAAGGUUUCUACUAAUACUAGGAGCUCAUGACGGUACUGUAAGAAUAAGCACCGGCUAACUACGUGCCAGCCGCCGCCGUAA
rnacentral:rRNA from 1 species